rnacentral:lncRNA from 10 species
CUUCGUCAUUGGCAUCACUCCGUGCCUUCUCCACAUUUUCUAGAGCUGCUUUUGUGUGUAAGACGAUGCGUUCAGAGCCGCAGGAACACACAGCCCCAGGAGGACGGCUUCCACUUAAUUAGCUUAAUUCCACAAUUCCCUGAGCCUCACGUCGCCCGACCUGGUGGCUGUUUAGAGGAGCCCUGCCUCUGGGCACCGGCAAAUUAUUUUCACAGGGAAGCUAGUGGAGAGAGUGUAAUUGGUGAUUAUGCUAAUUCCUUCCUUUUCUGUGUCAGAGACUGCUCUGCAGGGAGGCCAGGCUCCCGGGAAGGUGUGUAUGAAGGUCUAGCAAGUUCUAGGCUCCUUCCUCCACAGCAGCCCUCCAUGUCACAGGCCCUGAAGCAGUGCGGAGACAGCCCACAGGAUGCGUGGCGACAGCAGGAGAGGCCCCUCCCUGACCCCCAACCGCCCCCAACGCAGAAGCUCAAGGAGGCUGCGGCCUACUUGGUGAGAGGCCCAGAGGCUGCUGCAGGAAGUCCUCCUCCUGCCUUCCCUUCACACCUCCUUGGCAACUGUCCAGAGUCCAGGGAGUGAGCUGCCUGGGAAGAAUGCAGCGACAAAAAUACUUAGCCGCAUCCGGAACUUCCCUGGUGGCAGCUGGUCACCGACCAUGGGCUUCCCCUGGCAACUGUUGUGUUGGUGAAUGAAUUCCGAGUCUGACCCUGGCUCUGGCACGCCCCUGGGGGGUCUUGGAGAAGUCACCCAAACUCUCAGCCUCAGUUCCCACCCCUGUCAACUAGGGCUAAUAAUACCUCCCCAAAUGCCCCCUGGGAGUAUUAAAUAAUAUAAUGUCGAUG